rnacentral:rRNA from 1 species
CCUACGGGCGGCAGCAGUGGGGAAUAUUGCGCAAUGGGCGAAAGCCUGACGCAGCGACGCCGCGUGAGGGAUGAAGGUCUUCGGAUCGUAAACCUCUGUCAGCAGGGAAGAACGGUCACUGUGCUAAUCAGCAGUGAAUUGACGGUACCUGCAAACGAAGCACCGGCUAACUCCGUGCCAGCCGCCGCGGUAAUACGGAGGGUGCGAGCGUUAAUCGGAUUUACUGGGCGUAAAGCGCUCGUAGGCGGUAUUGCAAGUCAAGGGUGAAAUCCCCGCGCUCAACGUGGGAACUGCCUUUGAAACUGGCAAACUGGAGUGUGUGAGAGGAUAGUGGAAUUCCAGGUGUAGGAGUGAAAUCCGUAGAUAUCUGGAGGAACAUCAGUGGCGAAGGCGACUAUCUGGCACAUAACUGACGCUGAGGAGCGAAAGCGUGGGUAGCAAACAGGAUUAGAUACCCCUGUAGUC